rnacentral:lncRNA from 1 species
ACGACAAUUGUGCCAUUAGAGAAUACAUCAGGAUACCAUCACGUUCAAACUGUUUCAUCUGUUUUGUAGACAGAAGCUCAACCUCACCUUCUUCUUCAGCAGAAGAGAAAUGCACCGUCUUAUUAUAGCAGUUGAUAUGAACUCGAUUAUACUCUAACCAAUUCAUACCAAAAAUCACAUCCAUACCCGUCAACGGCAGACACACUAAAUCAAUCACAAAAUCUCUACCAAACAUAGAUAUGGGACACCGCAGACAAACAAGAGAAGUGGUUACUGAACCCUUAGCUGGAGUUUCAACAACCAUUUCCCCUUUCAUAUCAGAUANN